UACGUAGGUGGCAAGCGUUAUCCGGAAUUAUUGGGCGUAAAGCGCGCGCAGGUGGUUUCUUAAGUCUGCUGUGAAAGCCCACGGCUCAACCGUGGAGGGUCAUUGGAAACUGGGAGACUUGAGUGCAGAAGAGGAAAGUGGAAUUCCAUGUGUAGCGGUGAAAUGCGUAGAGAUAUGGAGGAACACCAGUGGCGAAGGCGACUUUCUGGUCUGUAACUGACACUGAGGCGCGAAAGCGUGGGGAGCAAACAGG
rnacentral:rRNA from 1 species